AAUAUGGAACAUUCCAUCACUCAGAGGGUCCCCUCGGUCCCCUUCCCGGUGGGUUCCAGCCGCUCCCACUCGCCCACCCCUGCCGCCUGAUUCCCCACUACAUACGAGUUCUGGAACUUCGUCGAGGAGGUUUGAAGUCUGAAUGGAAAUCAAGUUGUCAGCUGGGCUGCCUCCUCCUCCAGGCUUCAGUGGGGAAUUGGUGUCCUUGCUUGUUCCAGCGUCCAGAGGCUGCCAUCUUCCUUGGCCGUGACCCAUUCCCUUUGUCUUCCAUAACCAUGGAAUUCAAGAACACAGCAAUGUCCUCAUGAAGUUUUGAAGUAGAAUUAGAGCUGGGAACCCUGGCUGUAGCCCUUGAACAGCGGCUCUCCAAAAACUUGGCACAGUUCACCUCCCCAGAUCCCCAUUUUCCAGAAGAAAACUACUUCUGAGAUUACUGGUGACUGGCUCUUGGUCAGUUAUUGAGUAUCUACAUAUGUGUGCAUCGUUCGCUGGAGCCACUGAGGAAAUGAUUAGUUCUUGGCUUUGCAGGAAGGAAGACAUCUUUGCCCAUAGGUGGACUGUGGACACCUUUUAGAAAGAACUCAAACCACAAAACUGUAUAAUUUAAGUCAUGGAUGAGAACUGAGAGUGCACCUGCUCUAAGAGCCCUUCAGCUGAGCCCCACCAGAGCCUGCGUUCAGCUGGCAACCAUCAAGCAAUGGCAGCAAAACACAUGAAGAAAGGAAGGAUGGA